rnacentral:rRNA from 1 species
UACGAAGGGGACUAGCGUUGUUCGGAUUUACUGGGCGUAAAGCGCGCGUAGGCGGAUCGCUAAGUCAGGGGUGAAAUCCCAGGGCUCAACCCUGGAACUGCCUUUGAUACUGACGAUCUGGAGAUCGGGAGAGGUUGGUGGAAUUCCGAGUGUAGAGGUGAAAUUCGUAGAUAUUCGGAGGAACACCAGAAGCGAAGGCGGCCAACUGGCCCGAUACUGACGCUGAGACGCGAAAGCGUGGGGAGCAAACAGG